UAAAAUCUGACUUUCUGAUCAAUCAUAUUAGAUGGAUACAUAUAUUAGUAUGUAAAAUCGCUUACAACCACAUUUUUCCUUUAAAGAUUUUAAGCAUUUUGAAAAUUAUCAAAAGAUCCAAACACGCGCUUAGACUUUGUACCAAACCCUUUAAUUCCGUUCACAUCUUCAUUCAAAUGUUGUAACUAUCUCGUUACCCAAAAAGUCUACUCAAAAUUGAUAUAUUCUAUUGUCUUAUAUCUUGAUCGGACUAGACGCCAAAGGUGAGUUGCUCCGAGUUUUCAAGUCAUUCUUUUGAAUUGUGUAUUAAAUUAUUUUUUUAAUAGAUCAUUUAUUGUAAAAAUAUAAAUUGAUAUAAAGAGGUAAAUUAUUUUAAUUAUAUCUUUAUAAUAAUUGGGGCGAGAGUAGAAAAGUGGAUGGUCAUGGAAUAGGGUAUGGACAUGACGUUGGCUCCAAAAGGAAAACGAUAAACAUAAAGAGAUUACUUUAUGAGAAAUCCUGGGGACCGGUCCGACUGUUAAAACCAAAAUAACAGCCCUCCAAUAACCAUGCGCCACGUAAGAGGUUCAUUGGAAAAAAUCUGCAUCUGCGUACACCCGAUCAAAUGACUCUCCCCUCUUUCACUCCUUCGUAUUCCCUUUCUUCCUCGCUUUUUCCACUCAAUCCCUGAAGCUCUCGACCCCCUCAUCCCGCAUGGCGCUCGACCCAAACGGUAGCAGAGCUCAAUUCAGACAAUGAAGAAGACCCAAACGGUGGUCUGAAAAAAUGGAGAUGUCGGCGUCGGACUGAGAUGGUGGCAGUGGAACUAAGCUUUGUUGGGCGGCAAGGAUUGAUGGCUGUGCAAAGCAACGCUGAGCUUGGAGCGAAGACGGAAUGAACCUGAGAGAGAGUGGAGAUGCUAAUUUCUGGGCUGCUUUUCAGGCUUUGACAGACAGACCGCUCCACAGCGCCUCGCUUACUUUAUAUAUAUAAAGAGAUUACACAUAAAUAAAUUUAUAAACUGAC